rnacentral:rRNA from 1 species
ACCAGCCAUCCCGCGUGAGGAGAAGGCGCUCUGCGUUGUAAACUUCUUUUCCAGAGGAAUAAAAUUUCUGUACCAGUACGAAACUGAAGGUACUUUGGGAAUAAGCAUCGGCUAGCUCCGUGCCAGCAGCCGCGGUAAUA